GAGAUGGCUCAGUACAAUACAAUUUGGUUUGACGACAUGACUCCAAGGAUGGGAAAAAAUCAUUCAUUUAUUGCGCAUCCCUCACUCACAACCACGCACAAUCUGAUGCGAGUGUGCUUGUCCCCCAGCCAAGCAAAAUCUUUCCACAUUCAUUGCCUAUUCUUUUCAAUCGCCGAGCACCGGGCGACGCAAGCAACGACGGCCGAUUGAAUCGCUACUGAAUCUGUGUGCCGAAGACGAACGAACCAAUAUUGAACGAAUGUUUGCAUACUGAAUCGGGUGCGAGAGCAUUCGUUUUGGAACGUUCACUCAGCGUUCAGUGGCGGCAUUCAGUACUGGAAAUUGAAUCAGUGAGCGCGUUUUGAUUCAAUCAGCUGAAUGCCACUCGGUAGUUGAGAGAGCGAACGUUCUUUCCGUAUACACCGAUCCUAGCUGAUUCAUUUCACACUCUAUUUGUAUCUCUCCUGAUUCGCUUCGGUGGCGUCGGUGGCGAGCCGUUCGUUUGCGUUCGUUCAUGGUGCGCCGUGCUCUCACUCAGUAUUGGGUUGUUGGCGUUCUUUUGGCUAUUUUGCAUCGCCGGCAUUCGGGUGAGCGAAUGAGUUUUCCCAUGCUUGCAUGACUCCAAACUAUUCCAGUAUUGUCUGUGUUGAGUGGCAGCCCAGGUGUGAAUCUGAAGCUUUACCCAACACUUCGAUAUCGGAAUAGCUGGCUCAGGGCCAAUGCGGUCAUGUGAUGCUCCAGUGCGAGCUAACUCAUCAGCCAAUUCAUUUCCAGCGAUGAAAGAAUGGCCAGGUACCCAUACAAGGUGAACAGCGUUUGCUGAAUUCAGCUCCUCGAUUUGAGUUCGACAAGCGAUAACUACCUUCGACCUAGAGUUGGCCGAAGCAAGUGCUCCAGAACAUCGCCAUUAAGCACAUCCUUUGGAGAUGGCCUAAUUUUGAUUGGACCGUUCUCACUUCGCCCUUUUGCCACCACACAAGACAUCCAUAAGCCAAUAUUGGCUGAACCACAGUUGUGUAAAUCCAUUUGAUAUACUUGGGUUUUAGACCCCAAGUUGUACCAAAAGUACGCCGGCAUUGCCCGAAGGCCAUACAAGCUUUCUUGAUUCUGAACUCAAUGUGAGGUGUCCAGGAAAGCUUGGAAUUAAGAAUGACUCCAACGUACUUUACCUGUUCAGUCACAUCGAUUUCAGAAUCAAAGAGACGCAAAGGUCGAACGCCAUUACGGUUUCGCCUUUCCGUGAAAAGAGCAAUAGAUGUUUUACUCGGAUUAACCGAAAGGCCAUAUUGGCGACACCAACCCUCAACUACCUGAAGGGCGCUUUGCAUCAGGUCGAAAAGGGUGCUGAUGCACCUACCAACUAACAAUGUUAGGUAGUCGUCGGCAAAACCAUAAGUAGGAAAACCGCUAUUAUUGAGUUGCCUCAAUAGCGUAUCUGCUACGAGAUUCCACAAAAGCGGUGAUAAGACUCCCCCUUGGGGGCAUCCACAAACACUCAAUUUCCUAAUCCCUGCUAGACGCAAUGUCGAGAAGAGAUAUCGGUUUUUGAGCAUUUGGUGAAUCCAAUUGGAAAUCAUUGGAGAUAUACCAUGACUCCGUGCGGCUUCCAAUAUGGCAUCGAAAAGCACGUUGUCAAAGGCACCCUCGAUAUCUAAGAAAACACCCAGACAAGGCUGCUUUUGAGCGAAUGCUUUCUCGAUAUCGUAAACAACCUUGUGUAAAAGAGUCACAGUGGACUUACCAGUUUGGUAGGCAUGUUGGUUCACAUGAAGAGGCCCAUUGGCCAAAUGAACAUCACGGAUGUGAUGAUCGACAAUGCGUUCUAAGCAUUUCAGAAGAAAAGAGGUCAAACUGAUAGGUCUGAAACUCUUUGCUUCUUCAUACGACGCACGACCCACUUUUGGAAUAAACUUUACAGUAAUAUCCCGCCAGGAUUUGGGAAUAUACCCUGUAACAAAACUGCAAACAAGUAGUUUUUUCAAAACAUGUUUGAAAUAAUCAAAUCCCUUCUGAAGCAAAAUAGGAUAAAUCCCAUCUGCCAAGGAGAUUUGAAAGGAGCAAAGCUAUUAAGAGCCCACUCAAUCGAUUCUAUAGUUACAAUACUCCGAGCCAAAGCUAAAGAAUCAUAACUACAAGAAAAGACAUCCGGUUCAUCCGAAGAUGUAAUAUCCACACAUCCAGGGAAGUGUGUGCUGAAUAAGCAUUCCAGAACUUCCUCAUCAGAGGAAGUCAGAUCGCCAUUUGGCAAACGAAGUUCGUUCACCCAUAAACCCUUAGAUUUCGCAAGGAUUUUGUUUAACCGACUGACUUCACUCAAGCUGGAAACAUUUGUACAAAGGUUUUUCCAGCCAGAUCGUUCAGCAGACCGGAGAGCUUUCCUGUAGGCCUUGCGAGCCGACCUGAAAGCCUCCGAACCAGCCGAACGUCGUCUGUUCGCAUCAUCUAAAUCACUUGAAGUGUCAAUGGAUGGUGAGUAUCCAUGAAAUUUGGCCGCAACCAAAUCAGUAAAAAGAUCCCAGUUUGUUGACCGAGGAUUCCUGAAACGCAAUGUUUGCGAAGUAACAUUUAAAUGUUCAAAAAAGAUAUAGCAAUGGUCAGAUAAAGAUUCUUCAUCUGACACAUGCCAAUUGGUCAGCUCGUGGCUAAUUCUGCUAGAGCAAAGCGUUAUAUCUAACACUUCCUCUCUAGCAGAUACCAUGAAAGUUGGGCGGUUGCCUAUGUUAAGUAAUGCAAGAUCUGUACUACUUAAGUACUCCAUCAAGCUGGAGCCUCUCAAGUUAAUGUCUGAGCUGCCCCAGUUUAUAUGGUGAGCAGUAUAUUAGCAUCACUGCCAACAAUUAGCGGAAGGCCUUUUGAAGUACAGUAUGCAAUGACUUGUUUGAAAGCAUCCGUAGGGGAUGGUUCAUCAUGCGGUAAAUAAACCGAACAAUAGACGUAUUUCCUGUUGAGGUUUCCAACAGAUACAUCAAUUGUGAUAGCACAUACAUCUCUGGUGGUUAGUUAAGAGAUGAGUGUAGCAACUAUUGCGUUGUUGACAAGCACACAGGCUCGAGGCAUGACACGCGAGUUUGCCAUUUCAUGUUUACUGAAAGUUGCAAAAACCGGGUUCACAAGGUUUCCUAGAUAGAAAUUUCCCUUACGAAAGUAAGGUUCUUGUACCAAGGCCACUUGGGCUGUACCAUUUUGCAUAAGUCUGCAAAGAUUGAUCGUUGCUGUUCUUUUAUGCUGAAGAUUGAUCUGAGCUAUCCUAACCGUAGCCACUACCCAAACUAGGUAAGAUUAAACUCUUCGCAACGACAGCACAACAAAGAACAGCAACAAUAAAACCAAAUCGGUAUCGAUUGGUAUUGCGGAGAAACAUAUUAUAUCCAUUCGCGAUGUGGUACGUGGUGGAUGGCAACACUGAGAUGAGUGAACUGCUGAUAGGGCAGUAAUAUUAACGAGUAGGAAUGAAAGGAGGAUUGUUUUCAAUUGUAUUCGAUAUCAUCUCCAAAAGCAUCUGUUGAAUUGUUGAAGUUAAGAAGUAGAUGCAAUAAAGAAAUUAGUUAAAUUAGCAUCCUGAAAUUGUGCUGCGACGUCUCCUAUGUCAACAAGCGAUUUUCGGCAUCUGGACUGAGGUUGUACGAAGAGAGUAGUCAGGAUUCACGCGUUGCGUAAAGCCAAAAAGUGAGUAGGACAGUUUAGACGAUGGGAAUCGAUUUGUAACCUAGGAGUCUUUACAGUACAGUAUCGUUGGAUAAAAUCCUGCCUAGGACGGCUCAUUUGGUGUGGGUCGUAAUAUUAUUGGAUUAUAGGGUGACCAAUGUAAGUUUGAAGAAAUUUGAAACGAUGAAUAGUGCUAAUUCAAUAAACUUAGCUUUUAGCAUAUCUCCACCAAAGACCCGGUGUGUGACGCUCAGAAGACCCCGAAAACUCCCCCUACAAUUGGAAAACGCCAAAGGCGAGGAUACACAGAAUAAAAUGUGUAAAUCGCAUAAUGGGAAACCAUAGAGGUGAAAAUUUAAACUAAUUAACAACAUCUUCAUAAUCCCGCCCUUAUUUAGCCUCAAGUGAGACUAAAGAAGGGCAGCUGAUUGUCUCGGAGAAACACAAGGUCCACUGCACCAUUGCUCCGGUUAGCGCAGUAAGGGCUACAUACUGUGGAGGGCGCCCUGGUACUCCACAGGCUCCGUUAGCGGUUAGGUUUUUAUUAGACCCCCCUAGCCAUUCAUUCCUAGGCACGGUAAGCAUAAAGCCGCAUCACACCAUGAAUUAGGGGUCACCUGUUGGUGGAUUCUUACCACCGGAACAGGCGGUCCGUAGUGUUAUUCUUAGCCAAUUGAGACAAUCGCUACCGACUGAUCGAGAAAAGAAGUUAAUAUUGAUGAUCAACUUCAUACGGACUCGAACAGCCGCUUCGCAACAUGUCAAUUUUGACUAGCUUAAUAAUUGUAAAAUACUCUUUCGAGUGCAGCUUGUUUUUUAGGAUGGUAAUUCCCGUACCUAGAAAAGCUCCUAGGUUAGGUUAUUUUUUUUUUUCAAAAACAUACGAUAACUGUGAUCCACUAGCCUCUGCCCAGCAACGCCUAUUCGGUACCGGCCGGAAACUACGAGCAACCUUAGGGAAGAUCGGGUUACCAACCCCGGUGGAAACUUUGGUCGUUGGCUUACAGGGAAGCGGGGGAAGGGGGGGUUUACUUCUACAAACCUGAGCGUCUGUUCUCCAGGAGGAGCGACUCACAACAGCGUCUGAUCCCCAUGUUAGGGGCCGAUGAUCAGCCGUCCGAGUGCCAGGGAAGGACUCUAAGGUCAACUGUGCGCUAUGGUCCUCCGGAAAGUAGGGGGUUGGUGUCAGGCCCUACGAGCCAGCCGUAAAAAAAAACCAUUGUAACGGAAAAUCAGCAACAGAAUAACACGAACCGAGACCAAUGGCAACGACCUAAGCGAACAAAAAGGACUUGCGAUUGGAAACUCGGUACGUGGAACUGCCGAUCUUCAUUGGGAGCACCUGCAUACUCGCUGAUCUACUGAAGGACCGCGGGUUCGGCAUCGUAGCGCUGCAGGAGGUGUGUUGGACGCAUUCCAUGGUGCGAAUGUUUAGAGGUAAUCAUACCAUCUACUAGAGCUGCGGCAACACACGCGAACUGAAAACGGCUUCCAUCGUGAUGAAUGAUAUGCAGAGGCGCGUUAUCGGUUGGUGGCCGAUCGACGAAAGAAUGUGCAGGUUGAGGAUCAAGGGCCGAUUCUUCAACUUCAGCACGAAAAACGUGCAUAGCCCACACUCCAGAAGCACUGAUGAUGACAAGGACGCAUUUUACGUGCAGCUCGAACGCGAGUACGACCGCUGCCCAAGCCAAGACGUCAAGAUCAUCAUAGGAGAUUUAAACGCUCAGGUAGGCCAGGAGGAGAAGUUCAGACCGACGAUUGGCAAGUUCAGCGUCCACCAGCAGACGAACGAAAACGGCCUACGACUCAUUGAUUUCACCGCCUCCAAUACAGCCUCUCUUAUCGUUAUACCUGGAGAUCACCACAGCAAAUCGACCACGUUCUGAUUGACGGAUGGCACUUCUCCGACAUUAUCGACGUGGCGCCAACAUCGACUCCGACCACUAUCUGGUGAUGAUCAAAUUGCGCCCAAAACUCUCCGUCAUCAACAAUGUACGAUACCGGCGACCACCACGGUACAACCUAGAGCGACUGAAGCAACCGGAUGUCGCCACAGCACACACGCAUAUUCUUGAGGCCGCGUUGCCAGACGAGGGUGAGCUCGAUGAGGCCCCUCUAGAGGACUGCUGGAGUACAGUGAAAGCAGCCAUCAACGACGCAGCCGAGAGCACCAUCGGGUACGUGGAACGGAAUCGACGGAACGAAUGAUUCGACGAAGAGUUUGGAACGGGUUUUGGAGGAGAAGAAUGCAGCGAGGGCGGUAAUGCUGCAGCAAGGGACUCGACAGAACGUGGAACAUUACAAACAGAAGCGGAAACAGCAGAUCCGCGUCAUUCGGGAGAAAGAAGCGCCGCCUGGAAAAAGCGGAGUGCGAUGAAACCGAACAGCUACCGGAGGAGUGGAAGGAAGUGGUAAUCUGCCCCAUUUACAAGAAAGGCGACCAUUUGGAAUGUGAGAACUUCAGGCCGAUCACUAUUUUGAAUGCUGCCUACAAAGUGCUAUCCCAGAUCAUCUUCCGUCGUCUGUCACCUAAAACAAAUGAGUUCGUGGGAAGUUAUCAAGCCGGCUUCAUAGAUGGCCGGUCGACAACGGACCAGAUCUUUACCGUACGGCAAAUCCUCCAGAAAUGCCGUGAAUACCAGGUCCCAACGCAUCACCUGUUCAUCGACUUCAAAGCGGCAUACGACAGUAUCGACCGCGCAAAGCUAUGGAGAAUCAUGGACGAAUACGGCUUUCCUGGGAAGCUGACUAGACUGAUUAAAGCAACGAUGGACGGUGUGCAAAACUACGUAAGGGUUUCGGGUGAACUAUCUAGUUCAUUCGAAUCUCGCCGGGGACUGCGACAAGGUGACGGACUCUCAUGCCUACUCUUCAACAUCGCUCUGGAAGGUGUGAUGCGACGAGAUGGGCUCAACAGCCGGGGAACGAUUUUCACAAAAUCCGGCCGAUUUGUGUGCUUUGCGGACGACAUAGACAUUAUCGCUUGAACAUUUGGAACGGUGGCAGAGCUGUACACCCGCCUGAAACGCGAAGCAGCAAAGGUUGGACUGGUGGUGAAUGCCUCAAAAACAAAGUACAUGCUGGUAGGCGGAACCGAACACGACCGGAUCCGUUUGGGUAAUAAGGUUACGAUAGACGGGGAUACUUUCGAGGUGGUAGAGGAAUUCGUCUAUCUUGGAUCCUUACUGACGGCUGACAACAACGUGAGCCGUGAAAGUGGGAGGCGCAUCAUCAGCGGAAGUCGGGCCUACUACGGGCUCCAGAAGAAACUGCGGUCGAAAAAGAUUCCCCCACGCAUCAAAUGCACCAUGUACAAAACGCUAAUAUUUAAGACCGGUGAUCCUCUAUGGACACGAGACAUGGACCAUGCUCGAGGAGCGCAAGGUUUUUUUGCAUCUUUUUUUUCUGACUUUUGUACACUGCCAAACGUUUGGUAAGUCCGUUUAAUCAGUUAAUUGAGUUGGGUGAGUAGUAAAUAUGUAUAAUUGAAGUAACGUCAUUAAAUAUAUACGGGUUUGAAUCAACUAUGAACACUUUAGGGAAAGUUUUUGUAGGUAUUUAAGCGAUAUUGUUGAAUCUGAACAUGGAUUUCUAUGAAAUUUCUCAGUAUAAAACAUCCAAUCGAGAUUUCUCGAGAUUCCUCCUAGGGAUUAUUUUAAAAAUUUGCCCAGAGGUGCAGAAUGGCACCAGGAUUCGAUCCCUGAACUUAGUUUUGAUGGACAUUUUUAUUUUAUAAUAACGGUCUGUGGGGGCACCGUGGGAGCACCUACAAGCACUCGGAGUUUUCGAGCGACGCGUGCUACGAACGAUCUUCGGCGGUGUGCAAGAGAACGGUGUGUGGCGGAGAAGGAUGAACCACGAGCUCGCUGCACUUUACGGCGAACCCAGCAUCUAGAAGGUGGCCAAAGCCGGAAGGAUACGGUGGGCAGGGCAUGUUGCAAAAACGCCGGACAACAACCCUGCAAAGCUGGUGUUUGCAACUGAUCCGGUUGGCACAAGAAGGCGUGGGCGGACCAGGUGGAACGUGACCUGGCGAGCAUUGGUUGCGACCGAAAAUGGAGAGCGGCAGCCACAAACCGAGUAUUGUGGCGUACUAUUGUUGAUUAUGUCUUGUCUUAAAUGUGAUGUUGAACAAAUAAAAGUAUGUAUGUAUGUAAUUUUGUUUUGAAAGUUAACAUUACAAGUGAGCACCAUGUGUACCACUUACAAUACAUUGAAAAUUUGUAAUUAUCAAUGUGUAUAUGAUAGAAUUUACCUCCAGCAAGCUUAAGCACAAGCAGAUGGAGGUGAUCAUUGCGAAACGCAAACGUGAGAGUGUUUUGAGUUAUCUAAUAAACCUUAAUAAUCUUCACAAAAUGUGCAUUUCUUCGCAUUAGUCGACCAAAACUCAUAAAAAUUGUCCAAAACAUGUACAUCCCUGUAUGUUUGGAAGCUGAAAUAUUGUUGUAUUGUAGAUUAAUAGCAUUCAUUCUUGCUUACAGAUAGUUUUUGUGGUUUAGGGAUAAUGUUAUCCAUUAUUCUAACUAUGAAAAAUAAACUCGCCCCACAUCACCCUAAAAUAGAUAAAACUCAUGUCAAAAUAAAUUUCAUAUGUCGAAAACAUCACAAUAACAUACACCAAGAAGCAAAACGUAUGAAAAUUUGGCGAAAUUUUGAAGUUUCGAAAUUAAUUUCUAAGUGGAUUUUUUUUUUCGAUCAUACUCAAUUUUUAAGCAAUUUUCCCAAUCUUAUCAAAAAUCACUUUAUUCCUCAAAAACCAAAUAUUUUCCAACAAAGAUUACUAAAACAAUGUAAAAUGGAUGUAGUGCAUUAAUUAGAAAGGUAUAUUUUAUCAUUUUUGCAUGCAGUUUUCAUUAGAAACUGUAACCACUAUGGGGUGGAUCUUUUUUGUGCCGGUCACUGUACCUAUGAACGCAUAAAUGUCCCAUAUGAAUAGGAAUGCCAGCAAAUAUGGGAUUGAUGUGCGAUCAUAGGCUUGGAAAUCUUGCAUGAGCCUUUUGUGCUCUGAAAUGGUGUUAAUGAGACCUUAUUACGCCUAUCACAGUGCUUACCGGUUACCUACACCGUGUCCAAUAAGUUCUCAUACAAAAUCAAA